UACGGAGGGUGCAAGCGUUAUCCGGAUUCACUGGGUUUAAAGGGUGUGUAGGCGGAUAUUUAGGUCAGUGGUGAAAUCUCAAGGCUCAACCUUGAAACUGCCAUUGAUACUAUUUAUCUUGAAUAUCGUUGAGGUAGGCGGAAUAUAUCAUGUAGCGGUGAAAUGCUUAGAUAUGACAUAGAACACCAAUUGCGAAGGCAGCUUACUACGGAUAUAUUGACACUGAGGCACGAAAGCGUGGGGAUCAAACAGG
rnacentral:rRNA from 1 species